rnacentral:rRNA from 1 species
GAGUUUGAUCUUGGCUCAGGAUGAACGCUAGCGGCAGGCCUAAUACAUGCAAGUCGAGGGCAGCGCGGUAGCAAUACUGGCGGCGACCGGCGCACGGGUGCGUAACGCGUAUGGAACUUACCCAUUACUAGGGGAUAGCCCGGAGAAAUUCGGAUUAAUACCUUAUAGUAUAAAGACCUGGCAUCAGGUUUUUAUUAAAGAUUUAUCGGUAAUGGAUAGCCAUGCGUAUGAUUAGCUAGUUGGCGGGUAAUGGCCCACAAGGCGAUGAUCAUUAGGGGGUCUGGGAGGAUGAUCCCCCACACUGGUACUGAGAUACGGACCAGACUCCUACGGGAGGCAGCAGUAGGGAAUAUUGGACAAUGGGCGAGAGCCUGAUCCAGCCAUGCCGCGUGCAGGAGAAGGCCCUCUGGGUUGUAAACUGCUUUUGACAGGGGCCAAAAUAUCCAUGCGUGGAGAAUUGAGAGUACCUGUAGAAUAAGCACCGGCUAACUCCGUGCCAGCCGCCGCCGUAAC